UACGUAGGGGGCAAGCGUUGUCCGGAAUCAUUGGGCGUAAAGCGCGCGUAGGCGCCCCGGUAAGUCCGUUGUGAAAGUCAAAGGCUCAACCUUUGAACGCCGAUGGAUACUGCCGGGCUAGAGUCCGGAAGAGGCGAGUGGAAUUCCUGGUGUAGCGGUGGAAUGCGCAGAUAUCAGGAGGAACACCAAUAGCGAAGGCAGCUCGCUGGGACGGUACUGACGCUGAGGCGCGAAAGCGUGGGGAGCGAACAGG
rnacentral:rRNA from 1 species